ACUAAGGUGCUAUUCACCUUUUUACUGAGGGUUCACCUUAUGCCAAGCACUGUGCUAAGAGCUGGAUGGAGAUCUGAUUGAGCAGCACCUUGGCCUAGAAUGAGCUUCUGAUCUAAAGAAGGAGUCCUAGAUGGCGGAGCCCUGCGCACAAAGCGGACACUUCUCGGCGGCUGGUGCAGACGCGGAGACCAUGCCAUCUUGAGAAACAGAGCUGCCUGAGCCUCGGAUCCUGGCUUCUGACACAAACCAGGACCCUGCAACCACUGGGGACAGAGAACUGCUAUCACAGCUUCAGACCAACAAACAACAAGAAUCCAGACUUCCCGGCAGAUUUCCGCAAGCCCAGGCAAAGGCUCAGUUUGGUGUCUGCUUCCAUUGCUUACAGAACCAUGAACCCCACAACACGUGUGCCAUGUCUCACUCAUCCACUGGAGGGCACUGCACUUGCAGCUCAUGACAAUGACCUUGACCCACUUCCAACUUGGACAAGUUCGCCUUCUUCAGAAGGUGCUUCAUGAACUUCAAAGAUUUCUCUAAGGAAUAUUCAUUUGAUUUUUUUUCUUCAAUUAAAUUUGGAAGCUAAUGUAAAUCCCCUCUAAGUAACAAAAAUAAGAUGAUCCACUGCCUGGCAGCUGUCACUUGUGACACAGACAUGUACAAUCAUGUGUCCCACCGU